AGCUCCAAUAGCGUAUAUUAAAGUUGUUGCAGUUAAAAAGCUCGUAGUUGAACCUUGGGCAAGAUGCAUCAGGUCGGCCGCAAGGCCGGACUUGGUCGUCGCGCCUCUGUUGGGGGACUUGCCGCUUCGGCGACAAGGUAACCUACGUUACUGUGAAGAAAUUAGAGUGUUUAAAGCAGGCGAUCGCUUGAAUACAUCAGCAUGGAAUAACAAGAUAAGACAUUAGUCUUCUUGUUGGUUUGGAGACAAAUGUAAUGAUUAAUAGGGCCAGUUGGGGGCAUUAGUAUUCAGUAGUCAGAGGUGAAAUUCUUGGAUUUACUGAAGACUAACUAGUGCGAAAGCAUUUGCCAAGGAUGUUUUCA
rnacentral:rRNA from 1 species